GUUAGGAAUAUUGGACAAUGGGCGAAAGCCUGAUCCAGCCAUGCCGCGUGAACGAUGAAGGCCUUCGGGUUGUAAAGUUCUUUAGCCGAUGAUUAUAAUGACUGUAGUCGGAAAAUAAGCCCCGGCUAACUUCGUGCCAGCAGCCGCGGUAAUACGAAGGGGGCGAGCGUUAUUCGGAAUCACUGGGCGUAAAGCGUGCGUAGGCGGUUUUGUAAGUUAGGAGUGAAAGCCCAGGGCUCAACCUUGGAAUUGCUCUUAAAACUGCAAGGCUCGAAUCUCGGAGAGGAUAGCGGAAUUUCCAGUGUAGCAGUGAAAUUCGUAGAUAUUGGAAGGAACACCAGUGGCGUAAGCGGCUAUCUGGACGAGUAUUGACGCUGAGGCACGAAAGCGUGGGGAUCAAACAGGAUUAGAAACCCCUGUAGUCC
rnacentral:rRNA from 1 species